CUUUAUUGAGGAAAUGAAGUGCUUCCUGGCUUACAAAGUGUGAGUCGAACCGUUCUAAGAACUAAUGACUUCUACAAGCUU
rnacentral:ncRNA from 2 species